rnacentral:rRNA from 1 species
AUGCCCGCGCAGAAGCGCCCGCACCCGUCGCCCGACGCGGACGACGGGCACGUCCGGGAGGAGGAGGCUGCCGCUGCCGCCGGGGCCGCCGGCUCCGACACGGAGGGCGGCGGCGGCGUCCAGAGGGCCGCCAACGGGGGCUCCGCGGAGCUGGCCAAGGACGGUGGCGGCGGUGAGAGCUCUGCUUCCAGCGACGCGCGCCGCCGACUCAUCUGCCACCGUCACACGCGAUGCGCGCAUCGCGUCCUCUGUUUCGGCGCCGGGGUCGCUGACUGGCUUGCGUGUCUCACGGGCUCUGCAGAUUCCGAUGCGGGGGAGGACGACGAGGAGGAGGAGCAGCAGCGGAAGCAGCAGCAGCAGCAGGACGAGCACGAGGAAGGCGGCGGCAGCGGCGGGGACGACGAGGACAGCGACGACAGCCCGUCGUCGGAGAGCGACGCCGCCGACGUGGACGAGUUUAUACUAGUGAAAUUGAUGGAUAUACGGAAGGAAGUGCAGUGCCCUAUAUGCUUAGGCAUUAUCCGGAAAACAAGAACGGUUAUGGAGUGUUUGCACCGGUUUUGUAGGGACUGCAUUGAUAAAUCCAUGCGGCUUGGAAAUAAUGAAUGCCCAGCAUGCCGCACUCACUGCAAGAGCAGACGUUCCUUGAGGGAUGAUCCUAAUUUUGACGCUUUAAUUCUAGCUUUAUAUCCAGACAUUGACAAGUACGAGGAAGAGGAACUUGCUUUUGGUGAAGAAGAGAAGACUCGCAACAAAAAGAUUCAAGAUUCCAUUGCUGAAACAUUUCGAAGGCAAACAGAAGCACUUGUGAAGAAGCGCUCCAAUGCAAAAGCAAUAGCUUCUACAAGAAAGACCCGUGGGAGUAUGCGGACAAAGAAGAGAGGACGGACUAGUUCUCCUGAUAAUGCCCCAACUGACAUUGAUGACGACGAGAGAGAAGAAAAUGGUAAUGAUGGCAGCAAAGAGUCGUCUUCUGUUGAUGAUCGUUCACCAGAUGUCAAGAUGAAAAGAGCUCGGAGGUGGCCUGUGCCACGAUCAUCCCCUGCUAAGACUAUGGGCAGUGUUGAUAGCAGCUACGAGGAGAAUGAUGAUUUGGGAGGUGCCAGAGAUAUCUUGGCCACUUCUCCACUGCGGGGAGAGAUGCUUGCCUGGGGCAAAAAUGGCACCCGCAGCCAGACUCGACAUGGCAGUGCCGGUGGCUCCAGUGGAAGGAUGGUCAAGGGCGGGCGUGUUGCCAAGUUGGUGGAUCACCUCCGUAAUGCUGAUGAAUUUGAUACCAAGUUCAACUUGUACCUCGCUCUAACUCCGGUUGAUGGACAAAGCAUGCCUAAACUGGAAAAGUCCUAUCUCAGCUGCCAGCCAACAUUCUCUGUUAGCCACCUAUGCCAGUUCGUUGCUCUUCAGCUGUCACGGCAAGCCCAGGAGGUGGAGAUAUACUUCAGGAAGAAGGCCGGCAACGGGUCCCUUAAAACCGAAGAAAACAGCGCAGGCGACGAGGCGAAACCGGAGCGGCUCGACGGCCUGGAAAGGCUCAAGGAAGAGAAUUCGCUUUCAGAGCUGUACCCUAUGCUCGCCUCUGGUGUUGGAGACCUGGAGCUGCUGUACUCCGUGAAAGCGCAAGCCUAG